AGAGUUUGAUCCUGGCUCAGAACGAACGUUGGCGGCGUGGAUUAGGCAUGCAAGUCGAACGAGAAAGGUUCCUUCGGGAGCCGAGUACAGUGGCGAAAGGGUGAGUAAUGCAUAGAUAACCUGCCCUCGAGAUGGGAAUAACCUCGGGAAACUGGGGCUAAUACCCAAUAAGACCACGUGCCGCAAGGCAAGUGGUCAAAGAUAGCUUCGGCCUUCGCUUGAGGAGGGGUCUAUGUCCUAUUAGCUUGUUGGUGGGGUAACGGCCCACCAAGGCAUCGAUGGGUAGCCGACCUGAGAGGGUGGCCGGCCACACUGGGACUGAGACACUGCCCAGACUCCUACGGGAGGCUGCAGUCGAGAAUCUUCCGCAAUGCGCGAAAGCGUGACGGAGCGACGCCGCGUGGAGGAUGAAGGCCUUCGGGUUGUAAACUCCUGUCACCUGGGAAGAAAGGCAGGUAGUUAAUAGCUGUCCUGCUUGACGUUACCAGGAGAGGAAGCACCGGCUAAAUACGUGCCAGCAGCCGCGGUAAUACGUAUGGUGCAAACGUUGUUCGGAAUCACUGGGCUUAAAGAGCACGUAGGCGGUUAAGAAAGUCUGAUGUGAAAUCCCUCGGCUCAACUGAGGAACUGCAUCAGAAACUUCUUGGCUAGAGUGCAGGAGGGGAGAGUGGAAUUCCUGGUGGAGCGGUGAAAUGCGUAGAUAUCAGGAGGAACGCCAGUGGCGAAAGCGACUCUCUGGUCUGUAACUGACGCUAAGGUGCGAAAGCUAGGGGAGCGAACGGGAUUAGAUACCCCGGUAGUCCUAGCCCUAAACGAUGAGCACUUGGUCGAGGGUACUUCCAUAUUUUCCCUGCCGCAGCAAAAGUGUUAAGUGCCCCGCCUGGGGAGUAUGGUCGCAAGGCUGAAACUCAAAGGAAUUGACGGGGGCUCACACAAGCGGUGGAGGAUGUGGCUUAAUUCGAGUCUACGCGAAGAACCUUAUCCUGGUCUUGACAUGUUUAGGAAUCUCUGUGAAAGCAGAGAGUGCCUUCGGGAGCCUUUACACAGGUGCUGCAUGGCUGUCGUCAGCUCGUGUCGUGAGAUGUCGGGUUAAGUCCCUUAACGAGCGAAACCCUUGUCCUUAGUUGCCAGCGAGUAAUGUCGGGGACUCUAGGGAGACUGCCGGUGUUAAACCGGAGGAAGGUGGGGAUGACGUCAAGUCCUCAUGGCCUUUAUGAUCAGGGCUGCACACGUCCUACAAUGCGGCGUACAAAGGGAAGCGAACUCGCGAGAGCAAGCAAAUCCCAAAAAGCGCCGCCCAGUUCGGAUUGCAGGCUGCAACUCGCCUGCAUGAAGCCGGAAUCGCUAGUAAUCGCGGGUCAGCAUACCGCGGUGAAUGUGUUCCUGAGCCUUGUACACACCGCCCGUCAAGCCACGAAAGUGGGGUGCGCCCGAAGUCGCUGUAGCAACUAGCAAUAGAGCAAAGCGCCGAAGGUGAACUCCGCGAUUGGGACUAAGUCGUAACAAGGUAACC
rnacentral:rRNA from 1 species